rnacentral:snRNA from 1 species
ACACUUACCAGGUGCAGUGGCCUUGUUGAUCACCGAGGACGAGCCCCAAGAACGAGGCUCGGGCAGUACACUACGCUGGCGUUGACCCCAGCCACUACCCCAAACGGGGAAAGUUGGGGCAUGCAACUUGC